rnacentral:rRNA from 1 species
AGAUUAGAGUUUGAUCAUGGCUCAGAUUGAACGCUGGCGGCAUGCUUUACACAUGCAGGUCGAACGGCAGCACGGACUUCGGUCUGGUGGCGAGUGGCGAACGGGUGAGUAAUACAUCGGAACGUGCCCAGUUGUGGGGGAUAACUACUCGAAAGAGUAGCUAAUACCGCAUGAGAACUGAGGUUGAAAGCAGGGGAUCGUAAGACCUUGCGCAACUGGAGCGGCCGAUGGCAGAUUAGGUAGUUGGUGGGAUAAAAGCUUACCAAGCCGACGAUCUGUAGCUGGUCUGAGAGGACGACCAGCCACACUGGGACUGAGACACGGCCCAGACUCCUACGGGAGGCAGCAGUGGGGAAUUUUGGACAAUGGGCGAAAGCCUGAUCCAGCAAUGCCGCGUGCAGGAUGAAGGCCUUCGGGUUGUAAACUGCUUUUGUACGGAACGAAAAGCUUCGGGUUAAUACCCUGGAGUCAUGACGGUACCGUAAGAAUAAGCACCGGCUAACUACGUGCCAGCAGCCGCGGUAAUACGUAGGGUGCAAGCGUUAAUCGGAAUUACUGGGCGUAAAGCGUGCGCAGGCGGUCUUGUAAGACAGAGGUGAAAUCCCCGGGCUCAACCUGGGAACUGCCUUUGUGACUGCAAGGCUGGUGUGCGGCAGAGGGGGAUGGAAUUCCGCGUGUAGCAGUGAAAUGCGUAGAUAUGCGGAGGAACACCGAUGGCGAAGGCAAUCCCCUGGGCCUGCACUGACGCUCAUGCACGAAAGCGUGGGGAGCAAACAGGAUUAGAUACCCUGGUAGUCCACGCCCUAAACGAUGUCAACUGGUUGUUGGGUCUUAACUGACUCAGUAACGAAGCUAACGCGUGAAGUUGACCGCCUGGGGAGUACGGCCGCAAGACUAAAACUCAAAUGAAUUGACGGGGGCCCGCACAAGCGGUGGAGCAUGUGGUUUAAUUCGAUGCAACGCGAAAAACUUUCCUGGUCUUGACAUAGUAAGAACUUUCCAGAGAUGGAUGGGGCCUUCGGGAACUUACAUACAGGUGUUGCAUGUUGUCGUAAGCUCGUGUCGUGAGAAGGUUGGGUUAAGUCCCCCAACGAGCGGCACCCUUUUCCUUUAUUGGCCAGACCUUCGUGUGGGGAUCUUAUAGGGUAUACUGGCCAGUGGUACAACUGAUGUAAGGCGGGUACGGACGUCAGGUCAUCAUGGCCUUACGCGACACGAGGGGCUCAAUCACACGUGGGUGGCU